rnacentral:rRNA from 1 species
AACGAACGCUGGCGGCAUGCCUAACACAUGCAAGUCGAACGAGACCUUCGGGUCUAGUGGCGCACGGGUGCGUAACGCGUGGGAACCUGCCCUUAGGUUCGGAAUAACUCCCCGAAAGGGGUGCUAAUACCGGAUAAUGUCUUCGGACCAAAGAUUUAUCGCCUUUGGAUGGGCCCGCGUUGGAUUAGCUAGUUGGUAGGGUAAAAGCCUACCAAGGCAACGAUCCAUAGCUGGUCUGAGAGGAUGAUCAGCCACACUGGGACUGAGACACGGCCCAGACUCCGACGGGAGGCAGCAGUAGGGAAUAUUGGACAAUGGGCGAAAGCCUGAUCCAGCAAUGCCGCGUGAGUGAUGCAGGCCUUAGGGUUCUAUAGCUCUUUUACACGAGAUGAUAAUGACAGUACCGGGUGAAUAAGCACCGGCUAACUCCGUG